UUGAUCCUGGCUCAGGAUGUACGCUGGCGGCGUGCUUCACACAUGCAAGUCGAACGAUGAUCUCCAGCUUGCUGGGGGGAUUAGUGGCGAACGGGUGAGUAACACGUGAGUAACCUGCCCUUGACUCUGGGAUAAGCCUGGGAAACUGGGUCUAAUACCGGAUAUGACUCCUCACCGCAUGGUGGGGGGUGGAAAGCUUUUGCGGUUUUGGAUGGACUCGCGGCCUAUCAGCUUGUUGGUGGGGUAAUGGCCUACCAAGGCGACGACGGGUAGCCGGCCUGAGAGGGUGACCGGCCACACUGGGACUGAGACACGGCCCAGACUCCUACGGGAGGCAGCAGUGGGGAAUAUUGCACAAUGGGCGAAAGCCUGAUGCAGCGACGCCGCGUGAGGGAUGACGGCCUUCGGGUUGUAAACCUCUUUCAGUAGU
rnacentral:rRNA from 1 species